AGCGAACGCUGGCGGCAGGCUUAACACAUGCAAGUCGAGCGGGCGUAGCAAUACGUCAGCGGCAGACGGGUGAGUAACGCGUGGGAACAUACCUCUUGGUUCGGAACAACACAGGGAAACUUGUGCUAAUACCGGAUAAGCCCUUACGGGAAAGAUUUAUCGCCGAGAGAUUGGCCCGCGUCUGAUUAGCUAGUUGGUGAGGUAACGGCUCACCAAGGCGACGAUCAGUAGCUGGUCUGAGAGGAUGAUCAGCCACAUUGGGACUGAGACACGGCCCAAACUCCUACGGGAGGCAGCAGUGGGGAAUAUUGGACAAUGGGCGCAAGCCUGAUCCAGCCAUGCCGCGUGAGUGAUGAAGGCCCUAGGGUUGU
rnacentral:rRNA from 1 species